rnacentral:ncRNA from 1 species
CCCCCCCCCCGCACCCCCCCCCCCCCCCCACUGCGCCCACACACGGCCCCCUCCGGGCCUCGGCACCCCUCCCCGCCGACCACCGGCGCACGCCGACCCGCCCGAGACCCGGCAGGCCCCCAGCUCCUGCGCCCCCCCCCCAAGCCCCGGCCCCCCACCCCCGAUACGGUCAAUCCGAUCAGCGUGUGCUCUCCUUGGGCGCCAGGUCCGGGAAACCCGUUGAACCCCGGUCGUGCUAGGGAUAGGGAAUUGCAAUUAUUUCCCUUGAACGAGGAAUUCCCAGUAAGCGCGAGUCAUUAGCUCGCGUUGAUUACGUCCCUGCCCUUUGUACACACCGCCCGUCGCUACUACCGAUUGAAUGGUUUAGUGAGGUCCUCCGAUUGGACCCGGUCCGGGCGGCGACGUCCGAGCCGGCGUCCGAGAAGACGAUCUAACUUGAUCAUUUAGAGGAAGUAAAAGUCGUAACAAGGUUUCCGUAGGUGAACCUGCGGAAGGAUCAUUA